rnacentral:rRNA from 1 species
UGGCUAACUCCGUGCCAGCAGCCGCGGUAAUACGGAGGGGGCUAGCGUUAUUCGGAAUUAUUGGGCGUAAAGGGCGCGUAGGCGGAUUAAUAAGUUAAAAGUGAAAUCCCAAGGCUCAACCUUGGAAUUGCUUUUAAAACUACUAAUCUAGAGAUUGAAAGAGGAUAGAGGAAUUCCUAGUGUAGAGGUGAAAUUCGUAAAUAUUAGGAGGAACACCAGUGGCGAAGGCG